GCCAGGUGCAGUGGCACACACCUGUAAUCCCAACAGCUUGGGAGGCUGAGACAGGAGGAUCCUGAGUACAAAGCAGCCUCGGCUAUUUCGAGGCACUAAGCAACUCAGUGAGACCCUGUCUCUA
rnacentral:sRNA from 1 species